CUAAAUGGUAGAAAUCCUUUUGAACUCUCUGUGUAAAUCACUUCUUUCUACUUACUUGCUGUGCUUCUCUGAGUGCCUCGUGGCCUCUUUAUCACCACCUGUUGAAGGAAAUGUUAGAUCCAGAUAUGGAUGGAAGGUAUUAUGUGACACGGGAACUUUCAGAAAAUGAAGACCCAAAGGAACAGGAGAUCUGUGGAUUUUCAUGGACAGUCAUCUGUGGAUUUUCAAGGACAGUCAUGCAGAAGCAUACUUGGAGAACAGGGAUUAUCUUGAGGUUCUAGGGGCUAAGUGCAUGUUUGAGUGAAAGCUGUAAGAGAGCUAAUGAGCACAGAAUCUAGAAAAAAAAAUAGGUAAGUGUUCUCUCCCUCUCAUGAGAAAUGAAUCAAAAUCGAAGGUUUCCCCAAAGGAGGACAGCCUCCCUCAGCAAAAAGACUACUCCUGUUCUUUUCCUUAUAUCAGCAACUUAUGCAGUGACUGUGCAUUUUAUCUGAAGAAACUAGAGAUUUUUCUAUUUAAAGGCCCGAGGAGAAUAUAUUUGGCAUGAAUCCUUAGAGGAGUAGAAAGCUGUCUCUCUACUUGACCUCGCUUAUCUGAUUCUCCUCCCCAGAGUGGAACUUCUUAUGGCCUGGAGGCUGAUCCUCCAACUCGGUACCCAGAAGCCCUGCAAAGAUUUAAAGGCUUUGCAAGACUAGUCUUUGUGGCUUAGCAAAACCCAGCCUGGUUU
rnacentral:lncRNA from 1 species